rnacentral:lncRNA from 1 species
CUUAAACCCAGGAGGCGGAGGUUGCAGUGAGACGAGAUUGCGCCAUUGCACUCCAGCCUGGGUGGCAGAGUGAGACUCCACCUCAAAAAAAAGAAAAAAGGAAAACCAAGCAAAAGUCACUGUCAGGGGACCUCCCACCCACCAUACAGGGGAACACUCGGCAGAGCCAGAGGCCUGGGCCCAAGUCCUGCCACCAGCUGGCUGUGAAACUGUGGUACAGCACCUUGUGUCCUGCCACCAGCCGGCUGUGAAACUGGUACAGCACCUUGUCCUCAGGUCCUUGGUUUCCUCACUUGUAAAUUCAUGGUUCUCCAUGGCAUCUCUGGUCUUCAACAUUAUUUUGCAUAGAGUCUCAGAAGCUUUAGUGUGAGCGGAUGAUAUGGGCACGAAGCAAGGCACCCAGAAGUGGGGGCAACUACUCUGCUUUCUAAAAUGCAAGGGAACCGGAAAAUCCAGGAGCCGUGCCAAAUGAGAAGAGGAACAAAUGGAGGAACAUCCCAGUCAAGUGACAUUCCUAGUGACAUUCACCAGAACAGAGUCAAGCUUUGGAUCCCAUGUUCUGUGACUUCCUCUUCACCACGCUUCCUCCACACACGUAGCAGCUCAAGGGUUUCUGAUGAGUGGGGAAAUGACUUACUGCAAAGAACCACUCUUCCCCACGAGACUUCGAGAAGACCCGCUGUCACGGACUGAGUUGUGUCCUCUUAAAAUUCAGAUGUUGGAGUCCAAACCCCCAGUAACUCAGAGUGUGAACGUAUUUGAAGAGGUCUUUAAAGAGGUGAUGAAGGUAAAAUGAAGUCACUAGGGUGGGCCCUAAUCCAACCUGACAGGUGUCCUCAUAAGUAGAGGAGAUGAGGACACAGACACAUGGAGGAAAGACCAUGUGGGGACACAGGGAGAAGAUGGCUGAGGGGAGAGGCCAGAGGAGAAACCAGCCCUGGGAGAGAGACCCCAUGAGCUCGUCAAGCUCCUUCUGUGACUGAUCAGAGAUCCCACCGUGAGUCCAGCUCCUGGUCCCAUGCUCUGGAUAUAUCGGUCCCUGGCAGCGUGAGUGCCUCUGUGUUCACUGUCCCAUUUGAGAAUUCUAAGUAGAAUUCUGAACAGGCUGGAGCAGAUUGCCCACCCCAAGGGACAGAUGUUGGCUGGUACUGUUGGUAUUCAUGGAAGAUUCCUUCUGACACUCCCUCCUUCUUUGUAAUUGCCAUGAACUGGAGCACUGGGCCAAUAUAAAUCAUCCAAGGGUGAACACGCUGCACAUGGACGGCUCCUCUUUGUUUUUGAAGGGAUUCCAUCUCUAUUUUGCCAUGUGCUCCUUCACCCCACUCCCCACCCCCGUCUUUCAUUUCUUUCUCUGGAAAAGAUACUUCAACUCACAGGACUGCGAUGUUGAAACGGACACCCAAGAGCAUCACAGAUGGGCCAGGCCUGGACCUCUCGGGACAACAUUCCUCACGACUUUUAGAUAGAAGAGAUUAGAGAUUUGGGACUGGUGGCAACUGGUAACGUUUUCAGUGUUUGGUAAACAGCCAGGGUCCGGAGCUCUGGGAACAGCCUGAUUUAGCUCUUUGUUUAAGUUUUGUGUUAGAGGCUCCCAAGAAGCUGAUGCAGGGGAAAGAAAUUAACAACCAUGGCUCAUUCACAGCCAGGCAGCCAAAUGGACAGCUCUAUAAGACUCAAGCCGACAGCGGAGAGAGUGCAACCAAACAGCCUUGGCCCAGCUUUCAGAGGAGAACGUUAUUCACCCCAACUGCUCUGCAUCUGCCUGGAUGUCUGCCAAGAUCUGUGAGCAUUACAGCGUUGCAGUCUUCUUUCCACCAAUGACCCCUCGCGCUGCUUCCAGAAGCCAAGAAAGUGGGCUUUGUCCUUGGGGAUUUAGGAGGCGGAGCGGCGCCCCCUUGAGGCCACAUGGUGGAGGCAGCGAUGAGACCUGGAGUCUAAAAUUCAGACUGAAUCACAGGAAGAAGCUAUUUACACAAGUCAAACAUGGUCCAAUCUUGGCAAUUUCAUAAGGUUCCAAUCCUUAAGGGAUCAAAACCUGGCCAACUGCUUCCACCGAGAGGUGUGCCUUUCAAUGCCAGGCUUGGAGUGUCCCUCUUUAUUUAAAAAGGAGAGGAUUCCACAGCAGAGCUUCUCAAACUCUUCCACCCAAAUCCCCUCACCACAGAGGGACAGGAGUCCUGGGCAUGUAGCCUAAAGCAGCCAGGAGAAAAAAACCUUGACCUUAAUUUUUUUAAUGAUUUCACAUGAAUCAGUGGAAUGUGUUUAUGAUAAAAUCAUCUCCUCCUGAAAUACAUGUGUAAAACUGCUGCCCCAGUUAAACGCACUUAGUCUAACCAAGCCCUAGGAUUGGCCUCUCCAGCAUGAGAAGCAUUUCCAGCACUCCAGCUCCCCAGCUCCCACUCUGGGAUCCCACCUCAGACCCUCCCACUUCCUUGCACUCUGGCCUCUCGCUCUUGACCCUGCUCCCGCCACGCUCUUUCCUCAGAGUCCAUCAGUCCUGUCUUGUCUUCACCUUGGUCUCUGCCAAGUGUGGGUCCAAGUCAUAUAUUUGGGCUGUGAUCACAGGAACCCCAAGCCCCAGACCUCCCAAAGCACCCUAUGGAGAGACCUUACCCUCCUGGACAGACCCUCUCCCCCCAGCUAGACCUCAUCCUCUGGGUAGACCCAUCUCCCCAACCAGAACUCACCCUCCUGAGUAAACCCCAUCCCCCUAGCUAGACUUCAUCCUCCUGGACAGAUCCCAUCCCCCCAGCUAGACCUCACCCUCUUGGGUAGAUGCAUCUCCCCAACCAGAACUCUCCUGGGUAGACCCCUUCUACCCAGCUAGACCUGAUCCUCUGGACAGACCCCAUCAUCCCAGCUAGACUUCUCCCUCCUGGACUGUCCCCAUCCCCCCUCCAGCCAGACCUCACCCCUCUGGGUAGACCCCAUCCCCCCAACUAGACCUCACCCUCCUGGAUGGACUCUACCCUCCUGGAGAUACCUUCCCCUCCUGGGUACAUCCCACGUGGCUACACACUCCUUCCCCUGUCAGCUUUCUCCCCCAGGGUUCUGGGCAGCAGAGUCUGUGAUAAAGGAUACUAAGUGAUUCCCCAAUACUUCCCGUUUCCAGCCUCCAGUGGGCUCUCCCUGGGGCUAACGGUUCUUUUUGCUAUUUCUCCAGGCUUUGCCUGAUGACAAGUAUACUCUGAGAGUGUCCUAAUGAUACAGAUUUUGGACCCUAUCCCAGUUCUACUGAAUCCAAGUCUCUGGGGGAGGAGUUGGGGCUCUGCAUCUGGACACCUUCCUGCAGGGUCCCUCCUGGGAGGCAAGCCCGGGGAGCACCGCUGAGGCUCGCCUCAGUGCCCAUCCUAGACCUUCAGCAGCUAGCAGAGGAUGUCCCCACCAUCCCUCAGCCCACACUCCCACUGUCGCCCCAGCCAGGCUUGGCACUGCCUCCUUUCUCAGAAGAUUAAGACCAUCUGCUGUUUCCCAAGUUUCCCACCCUCCACCCUAAAAAUUUCUCCGUUUCCCAGUCUUUCCUCGUCUCUCAGAAAAUAAACAUCUUCCCAGGCUGCCUCCCCAGUGGGUCUGCACUCCUUGCUGUCUUCCCAGCACCUGCCCUUCCAGCCCGCCCUCUGUGUGUCCAGUGUUUCCCUCACCAAAGGACUCGCUUUGUUUUUCAAAUUGGAGGUUUUGUCUUCUCCCUAAAAACCAAAACAUCUCCCUGAGAAGUAACUCCCUCAAGCUACUGAUACGGAAGGGGGGCGGGGAAGUGCUGGGAAGGGAAGGGUGUGGUCCCUGGCUAGGGCUCCACCCCCGGGCCUGUGCCCACAGACCUAGGUGAGGACAGGCAUUUCUGUUUUCGUGCUUAAAUGUUGGAUUUCCCAAGACUACCCUGGCCUACCACACCCUCAUUCUGUGCCUGUAAAAAAACCUGAGAGCUUAGCAGGCACGCACACAAGCCUCUGGACGUCAAGAGGAACACACCGGUGUAAGAGCAGACUGAUAGUGGCCCACGGCAGGCUGGCAGGCCAUCGACAGGCAGAACCACUCAGUGCAGCUGGAGGACAGCCUGGCCACGGAGCGGUCCGACUUCAGAGGGGAAAACCACCUCCCCACUCCGUCUCCCUUCUGGCUCCCCCAUCUGAGAGCUACUUCCACUCAAUAAAACCUUGCACUCAUUCUCCAAGCCCAUGUGUGAUCUGAUUCUUUUGGUGCACGGAGGCAAGAAACCUCAGGAUACAGAAAGCCUCUGUCCUUGGAAUAAGGCAGGAGGUCUAACAGCUGACUAGGGAUGGCUCAACUGAAACAGCAUCCUGUAACACAGGCCCAUUGGGACCUCAGGAGCUGUAAACAUUCACCCUUAGACAUUGCUGUGGGGUUGGAGCCCCACCACCUGCCCAUCUGCAUGCUCCCCCUACAGGUUUGAGCAGCGGGGCACAGAAGAAGCCAGCCACACCUCCAUCGCAAGCCCUGCCACGGGGAUAAGGGAACUUUUCCCGUUUUGCCACCAGCUCAAGCCCCGCCUUCCUGUCACUCCACACUCUUCAUCUCUGUGUAUGGGUGUGGUCUUCCUCAGUUCCUUCUCUGGCCUCACACAGUGCCCUGAAUAAUGCUUUGCAAGGCCUUUGCCAGGAGCCUAGGUGAAAGGCAGAAGAGGUGCCCCUGCAGCAUCGCAAGGUAGAGAUCGUGGUUACAAGAUGGGGACUAGACUCCCAGUUUGCCCUUGGACUGGGCAGCCCCUUGGAUUUUGUUUUCCCUGACGUUGCUGUUCUGAUCCAAGGCCUUGUGGCCUCGCUACAGACACCCAAGGCCAGGCCUAUCUUUGCAUGAAUAACUAAAGAAAGCCUAGAGGAUGAGUAAAAUGACCACACUGUAUGGCUUUGGAGGACUGGAAGUUACUGAGGACUAUGAGUGGGUUUUUUGCAUAGACUGCAGUAAAGGUCCUCAGAAAAGACCCUCAAGAGCUAUGGGGGGGUCUGGUCAAAUGCCACUUCUAGACUGGACUCCAAAACUGGUGCUGAUUAUUUUCACUCCUACCCCACCCACCAGCCUGAUAGGCGAUUCCUGAAGUAGCAGUGGGGCGCUCAGUGGUGCUCACCAGGCCCAGAGCUCAGUCCUUCCCCCAUUCUGCCUGAUGGGGCUUGUGUAACCAAGGAUGACAGAUGGGACAAUCCCUGUUGGUAAAGACUGAGUUGAUUCUGACCAGGACCAGAGAUAAAACCCAGCACCUUUAUCUUUCCCCUUUGUACCUUCUUCAGAAAGACCUUCUUCUGCAGCAGUUCUGGAACUGUGAUCUGUGAGGUGUGGUUGCAAGAAUUCUUUAUUUUUUUAUUUUAUUUUUUUCAGACAAAGUCUCACUCUGUCGCCCAGGCUGGAGUGCAAUGGUGCGAUCUCGGCCCACUGCAACCUCCGCCUCCCAGGUUCAAAUGAUUCUCCUGCCUCAGCCUCCUGAGUAGCUGGGAUUACAAGCAUGUGCCUCCACGUCCAGCUAAUUUUUGUAUUUUUAGCAGAGACGGGGUUUCAUCAUGUUGGUCAGGCUAGUCUCAAACUCUUGACCUCAUGAUACACCUGCCUUGGCCUCCUGAAGUGCUGGGAUUACAGGCGUAAGCCACCACGCCUGGCCUGGCAAGAAUUCUUUUAUAAAGAAUUCUAGGUCUAUUAAACCCAGAUUCUUCAACUAGAACAGGCACACAGGAAAAAGGUUCACUAAAAACCCUGUUCUCUUGCCUCAUUUUGGUGAUUUCCAGCUAGGCUGUUGGGAUAGGCAUAUGUAAGUGUCACUUCCAUCUUUUCAUAGGUAUCUCACAGAAUCUCUGACCAAUGGAGAGCUAAUCAAAGACAAGUUUAAUAGGUGAAG